UACGGAGGAUGCAAGCGUUAUCCGGAAUGAUUGGGCGUAAAGCGUCCGUAGGUGGCAAUUCAAGUCGAUUGUCAAAGGUCAAAGCUCAACUUUGAAGCGGCAGUGGAAACUGAAAUGCUAGAGUGCGGUAGGGGUAGAGGGAAUUCCCGGUGUAGCGGUGAAAUGCGUAGAGAUUGGGAAGAACACCAGUGGCGAAAGCGCUCUACCGGGUCGAAUCUGACACUGAUGGACGAAAGCUAGGGGAGCGAAUGGG
rnacentral:rRNA from 1 species